rnacentral:rRNA from 1 species
UAUCCGGAAUUAUUGGGCGUAAAGGGCUCGUAGGCGGUUCGUCGCGUCCGGUGUGAAAGUCCAUCGCUUAACGGUGGAUCCGCGCCGGGUACGGGCGGGCUUGAGUGCGGUAGGGGAGACUGGAAUUCCCGGUGUAACGGUGGAAUGUGUAGAUAUCGGGAAGAACACCAAUGGCGAAGGCAGGUCUCUGGGCCGUUACUGACGCUGAGGAGCGAAAGCGUGGGGAGCGAACAGGAUUAGAUACCCUGGUAGUCCACGCCGUAAACGGUGGAUGCUGGAUGUGGGGCCCGUUCCACGGGUUCCGUGUCGGAGCUAACGCGUUAAGCAUCCCGCCUGGGGAGUACGGCCGCAAGGCUAAAACUCAAAGAAAUUGACGGGGGCCCGCACAAGCGGCGGAGCAUGCGGAUUAAUUCGAUGCAACGCGAAGAACCUUACCUGGGCUUGACAUGUUCCCGACGGUCGUAAAGAUACGGCUUCCCUUCGGGGCGGGUUCACAGGUGGUGCAUGGUCGUCGUCAGCUCGUGUCGUGAAAUGUUGGGUUAAGUCCCGCAACGAGCCCAACCCUCGCCCCGUGUUGCCAGCGGAUUAUGCCGGGAACUCACGGGGGACCGCCGGGGUUAACUCGGAAGAAGGUGGGGAUUACGUCGAUCUUCUUCCCCCUUACGUCCAGGGCUUCCCCCCUGCUACAAUGGCCGGUACACGG